GAUGAGAACGUAGCGAAAUGCGAUAAGUAGUGUGAAUUGCAGAAUUCAGUGAAUCAUCGAAUCUUUGAACGCACAUUGCGCCCUUUGGUAUUCCUUAGGGCAUGCCUGUUCGAGCGUCAUUUAAACCUUCAAGCUAAGCUUGGUGUUGGGUGACUGUCCGCUUCACGGCGGACUCGCCUCAAAAUUAUUGGCGGCCGGUACAUUGGCUUCGAGCGCAGCAGAAACGCGAACUCGGGCCCGUCGUAUUGGCUCCCAGAAGCUAUCUUCACAAUUUUGACCUCGGAUCAGGUAGGGAUACCCGCUGAACUUAAGCAUAUCAAUAAGCGGAGGA
rnacentral:misc_RNA from 1 species